GACGAACGCUGGCGGCGUGCCUAAUACAUGCAAGUAGAACGCUGAAGAGAGGAGCUUGCUCUUCUUGGCUGAGUUGCGAACGGGUGAGUAACGCGUAGGUAACCUGCCUUGUAGCGGGGGAUAACUAUUGGAAACGAUAGCUAAUACCGCAUAACAAUGGAUGACACAUGUCAUUUAUUUGAAAGGGGCAAUUGCUCCACUACAAGAUGGACCUGCGUUGUAUUAGCUAGUAGGUGAGGUAAUGGCUCACCUAGGCGACGAUACAUAGCCGACCUGGGAGGGUGAUCGGCCACACUGGGACUGAGACACGGCCCAGACUGCUGCGGGAGGCAGCAGUAGGGAAUCUUCGGCAAUGGGGGCAACGCUGACCGGGCAACGCCGCGUGAGUGGAGAAGGGUUUCGGAUCGUAAAGCUCUGUUGUAAGUCAAGAACGGGGGUGAGAGUGGAAAGUUCACACUGUGACGGUAGCUUACCAGAAAGGGACGGCUAACUACGUG
rnacentral:rRNA from 1 species